AGCGUUGUCCGGAUUAUUGGGCGUAAAGCGCGCGCAGGCGGAUUGGUCAGUCUGUCUUAAAAGUUCGGGGCUUAACCCCGUGAUGGGAUGGAAACUGCCAAUCUAGAGUAUCGGAGAGGAAAGUGGAAUUCCUAGUGUAGCGGUGAAAUGCGUAGAUAUUAGGAAGAACACCAGUGGCGAAGGCGACUUUCUGGACGAAAACUGACGCUGAGGCGCGAAAGCCAGGGGAGCGAACGGGAUUAGAUACCCCGGUAGUCCUGGCCGUAAACGAUGGGUACUAGGCGUAGGAGGUAUCGACCCCUUCUGUGCCGGAGUUAACGCAAUAAGUACCCCGCCUGGGGAGUACGACCGCAAGGUUGAAACUCAAAGGAAUUGACGGGGGCCCGCACAAGCGGUGGAGUAUGUGGUUUAAUUCGACGCAACGCGAAGAACCUUACCAGGUCUUGACAUUGAUGGACAGAACUAGAGAUAGUUCCUCUUCUUCGGAAGCCAGAAAACAGGUGGUGCACGGUUGUCGUCAGCUCGUGUCGUG
rnacentral:rRNA from 1 species